AGUACUGACUGCUUAUUGCACCACAUGUGUUUUUCUUUGAAACAAACUUGCUUUGGCGGUGGGCCCAGCCUGCCGCCAGAGGUCUAAACUUACAACCAAUUUUUUAUCAACUUGUCACACCAGAUUAUUACUAAUAGUCAAAACUUUCAACAACGGAUCUCUUGGUUCUCGCAUCGAUGAAGAACGCAGCGAAAUGCGAUACGUAAUAUGAAUUGCAGAUAUUCGUGAAUCAUCGAAUCUUUGAACGCACAUUGCGCCCUCUGGUAUUCCGGAGGGCAUGCCUGUUUGAGCGUCGUUUCUCCCUCAAACCGCUGGGUUUGGUGUUGAGCAAUACGACUUGGGUUUGCUUGAAAGACGGUAGUGGUAAGGCGGGAUCGCUUUGACAAUGGCUUAGGUCUAACCAAAAACAUUGCUUGCGGCGGUAACGUCCACCACGUAUAUCUUCAAACUUUGACCUCAAAUCAGGUAGGACUACCCGCUGAACUUAAGCAUAUCAAAAGCCGGAGGAA
rnacentral:rRNA from 1 species